CUUAUUAGACCUAAAAAUCUAAUUUCUAAGACCCUAAUCCACUUGAACUUCAAUAACCUCCAAUCUAAUCGCUAUCUUAUACUUUAUUUGAACCACAGCCUCAUUCUUCAUUCUUGCUUCUAUAUAGCAACUCAUACUUCAAAUUAUGCUCAGAAUUCAUGCUUCAUUCUUACUUAUAUUUUACUUGGUAAUAUAAAUCCUUACAUUGAUUUGAUGGCUUUAUUUUUAAAAGUAUCUCUAAAUAUAACUAAUUUAUCUCAUAGUUCUACAUUCAAUUCAAU
rnacentral:lncRNA from 1 species